AACUGGUCUGAAGUUAUCUCAGUUGAUGGUUCAGUUAGUUACAGAUCAAAUCCUUUGUUCUAUUCAUUCCCUCCUUCUCACUACCUCACUUGACUAGUCUUAA
ensembl:misc_RNA Y_RNA Y RNA